UCCCAGGAACUAAAAUAUCUAGACAUUUGGAUUAAGUUCCUUCAGCUCGGGGAUAAAAAAUACAGUUUCGUUUUGUUUUGAAAUCCGACGACCAAACUGGUUUUACUGAAUGAGAAUCAUUUGGUAAACAAAUGAUACCGGCGUCGAGUGAAAACUUGAACCGCGCCCCGUUGAAACUCGAAGGAGGAACUUUUGGAUCUUCAUGGAACAAAAUUGUGUGGGAUUCAUGCGAACGUUUCAGCCGUCGAGCGAAUAUCCGACACCACCGAGUAUCCAACAUCACCGAGUAUCUGACACAACCGAGUAUCCAACAUCACCGAGUAUCCAACAUCACCAGGUAUCUGACACCACCGAGUAUCCAACAUCACCAGAGUGAAAAAUGAUACCGGCGUCGAGUGAAAACCUGAACCGCGCCCCGUUGAAAAUCGAAGGAGGAACUUUUGGAUCUUCAUGGAACAAAAUCGUGUCGGAUUCAUGCGAACGUUUCAGCUAUCGAGCGAAUAUCCGACACCACCGCUUAAAACGACAACAUGGAUAUUCCGAGCCACAGAUUCAUUCACCUGCAUCUUUUAUUGUACUUACAACAAAAGUGUUUGUACUUCUACUAUUCUGUACUACUGUAUUUCCAAUAAACGUUUUAAACAAA